rnacentral:misc_RNA from 1 species
GAUGAAGAACGUAGCGAAAUGCGAUAAGUAAUGUGAAUUGCAGAAUUCAGUGAAUCAUCGAAUCUUUGAACGCACAUUGCGCCCGCUAGUAUUCUGGCGGGCAUGCCUGUUCGAGCGUCAUUUCAACCAUCAAGCCCUGUUUAGGCUUGUGUUGGGGCCCUGCGGUUGCCGCAGCCCCCUAAAUGCAGUGGCGGGCUCGUUGUCACUCCGAGCGCAGUAGCGUAUCUCGCUCUGGGCGUGGCGGCGGGUGCUAGCCGUGAAACACCCACUCAGGUUGACCUCGGAUCAGGUAGGAAUACCCGCUGAACUUAAGCAUAUCAAUAAGCGGAGGA